rnacentral:tRNA from 1 species
CGGAGCAUAGCGCAGCUAGGUAGCGUAUCAUCUUGGGGUGAUGGAAGUCGUGGGUUCAAAUCCCGCUGCUCCGA